UGUAGGUGAGAGAUUUUGACUUCCCCUUCAAAGUAAACAAAGUGGAGAGACUUGAGACUUCCACGGUGGAACUUUCACCUAAUGGCGCGUGGCCCCCCACUCGCAACCUCUUUCUAUGAUUCGCAAUAUAUAAUAUUAUUGUACACGUUGACAUAUACUCCAUUUUUGCGUGUGUCCCGAUAUUGCUUCUAGAGAAUGGGUCGUCAAUUUUGAGUCUCCGAGUCCAUUUUUAAAAGCGUGUUAUAAU